AUCUAGCUCCAUCGAACGGGCAGAGCAGGAGGCGAAGUUAUGUUUCUGGACAAUGUGGUUGUCGCAGGUGUCGUCACCGUCGGCCUGAUGCUUGUUUUCUUCGCAGGCUUCGGACUUUUCAUCUGGAAGGACUCGCAAAAGCGCAAGUAAGGCUCAGGCCUUCCAUAACAAGAGCACGCAAGGCAUUUAGGGCGACUUCGGUUGCCCAUUUUUUUU
rnacentral:sRNA from 1 species